AGACUCAUAUCUUUCACAGGCAGGGCCGGUCCAAAAGGGAGGGCGAGCAGUGCAAUGGUCCAGGGCUCAUCCCAAAAUCAUACAAAUUUAACUAUAGAAAAGGGCCCAAUUUUUUUGUUUGUUUUCUAUCACAGGGAGUAAGAGAUCAGCCUUAUGUUUUGAUGUAAAAUACCUAUCUUCGAUCGAAAGAUCGAUUUGUUUUGUUCGCUUAGGCGAUUUUAUCUUCCGAGUUAGCGGAUUAAUCUUCGCUUUGGCGAUUUUUUGAUGUGUUUUUCUUCAACCGAAACAGAGGGAAACAUAGGUGAUCUGGGAGAUUGAAGCGUACAAAUGGAAUCAAUGUUGGGCUGCUCUGUAAAUUCAAGUUUUAGGUUCAUCGGAUGUUCUUGCUUACGGCGGCUCCAGUGAAAAAGCAGCACCGCCCUUUGCGUAUCACGUAAUCCCAUCUAUGCUCAGUAGAAGACACGUGGAGACAGAUGUAAUGUCAAGAGACAUCCUUAUCUUUAAUGUUGGGCUUGUUUUGGGUCAAUAUUGUAAUGAGGUUAAAUUUGAGUUCCAUUUGUAUUAACUUAGCCCUCGGGCUUUAUAAUAAUAACUAGAUUUUGACCCGCUCUUCAAAGGGCGGGUAUACUUUUUGUUUUAAUUUUUUUUUAGAAAUUUAAUUUUUAUAUUUGUGUAUUUUUUUGUAAUUAUAUUUAUGUAUAAAUCUUAAUCAAAAUCUAUUUUAUAAAAUAA